rfam:Danio rerio chromosome 4, GRCz11 reference primary assembly.
AAAAAAAAAUGGAAAUGCCCGAUCUCAUCUGAACUCGAAAUUAAAGCAGGGUCGGGCCUGGUUAGUACUUGGAUGGGAAACCGCCUGGGAAUACCAGGU